GUGAAACACGUUGCCUGGACGUAUUCGAAAACCAAAAGAUGAAGACGUACGCUGUUAAGCUUGCUCUGGCUGUGGCUCUUUUAGUGUUUGCCAGCCUGGUGUCUACCGGAGAGGGUUUUCAUACACCAUUUCCGCCAGGUGUAAAAAGACAGGUUCAUGAAAGUAAAAAGUUUAUGAGACAACAAGUGCAACGCCUUUGUCAGAUGGCAAGAAAUCUGAGAUGCGAGGAAUUUAAACGGCAAGCCACGGUCCUUCAAGAUCCCUAUGAAGACGCCUAACACCCUAUAUUUCAAAUAACGUAUUCUUGGAGUUAAUGUCAUUCUUUACUGAUUGUUGUUUUUCAACUGGUGAAUUAAAAUGUUUUGAGAGAUCACA